UACGGAGGGUGCAAGCGUUAAUCGGAAUUACUGGGCGUAAAGCGUGCGCAGGCGGCUUCUCAAGUCAGAUGUGAAAUCCCCGGGCUUAACCUGGGAACUGCGUUUGAAACUGGGAGGCUAGAGUGUGGCAGAGGGGGGUGGAAUUCCACGUGUAGCAGUGAAAUGCGUAGAUAUGUGGAGGAACACCGAUGGCGAAGGCAGCCCCCUGGGCCUGCACUGACGCUCAUGCACGAAAGCGUGGGGAGCAAACAGGAUUAGAUACCCCCGUAGUCC
rnacentral:rRNA from 1 species